AUUGAACGCUGGCGGCAGGCCUAACACAUGCAAGUCGAACGAGUGGCGGACGGGUGAGUAAUGUCUGGGAAACUGCCCGAUGGAGGGGGAUAACUACUGGAAACGGUAGCUAAUACCGCAUACCAUCGGAUGUGCCCAGAUGGGAUUGGUACGUAGGUGGGGUACCGGCUCACCUAGGCGACGAUCCCUAGCUGGUCUGAGAGGAUGACCAGCCACACUGGAACUGAGCCACGGUCCAGACUCCGACGGGAGGCGGCAGUGGGGAAUAUUGCACAAUGGGCGCAAGCCUGAUGCAGCCAUGCCGCGUGUAUGAAGAAGGCCUUCGGGUUGUAAAGUACUUUCAGCGAGGAGGCGUUACUCGCAGAAGAAGCACCGGCUAACUCCGUGCCAGCAGCCGCGGUAAUUC
rnacentral:rRNA from 1 species